UAAUACCAACUCCCUGAGUGGUGGGGGCGAUUAUUGGGCUUAAAGCGUUCGUAGCCGGCCUGAUUAGUCCCGCGUCAAAUCCAGCGACCUAAUCGUUGGACUGCGGGGGACACGGUCGGGUUUGGGAGCGGGAGAGGUUAGCAGUAUUCCCGGGGUAGGGGUGAAAUCCUAUAAUCCCGGGAGGACCACCAGUGGCGAAGGCGGCUAACCAGAACGCGUCUGACGGUGAGGGACGAAAGCUGGGGGAGCGAACCGGAUUAGAUACCCGAGUAGUCCCAGCUGUAAACGAUGCAGGCUAGCUGUUGGGUUGGCCACGAGCCAUCCCGGUGGCGCAGGGAAACCGUUAAGCCUGCCGCCUGGGGAGUACGGUCGCAAGACUG
rnacentral:rRNA from 1 species